UUUCUCAUUUAACACAAUUCCGAUUUUGACCAACAAAUACACUAAUUCAUAGUGUUCACAGUGACGAUUACAUCGUGCCCAAAUUCCAGUAAUUCCGACAGAUAUCUCUGUCGAAAAACCCAUCGGAAAAAUGGUCCACACCACUUUGUAAAAAAAAAAGUUCCAACAGACUUCUGUUGAGUUAUUUUCGUUCAAUGAAUUGAACUUUCAAGCCGUGACAUACAUAUACAAAUAAACGGAAGAACAGAGAAAUGUCAAUGGUAAAAGCAAAUUGACAUGUAUGUGGUACUCAAGAUACACAGAGACCAAAAUUCACCAAAGAGCAGACAGCGCUCAAAACUACAGAAACCAUGAUCACCUUAGUCCAGAUUCUGGCAAUUUUACAAAUUUUGCUAAAUAUUUGAAUAACAAAUUUAUUUGUUGAGUCUAUAUUGGCACUACAGGUAUACAACAUUCAAAACUAUCUUGCCCCAGGAACUACCGAAGUAUCCAAGCUAAUGUUAAUUUCUUGAGAUUCUAGGCCUCCAUUGUUACUUAUCCUCGAGUUUUCACACGCAAUACAUUCUUUUAGCUCGUUAAUAACCUGAGACAUGAUUGGUCGUUUUGAGGAAGAAGUAUCAGUGCAUGACACUGCCAGAUCAAGAGCUCUCCACGCAGAAUUGUGGUCAUAACCCCCACAAAGGUUUGGAUCCAUGAUCUCCGUUAUAUCACAUUGAUUAAGCUUAGUGCUAACCCAUUCUGCUACGUGAUACUCUUCAGAGAUCACCGGUUUGUUUGUGAUCAUCUCCAAUAACACGACCCCAUAACUAUAUACAUCACUCUUCUCAGCCAACCGGUUUGUACGGUAAUACCUGUAAGACAAGAACAUGGUAAAACUCUCUAACCAUUUAAGAACAUAUAGAAAAUGUCAAAACAAGUUUGUGUGUGUGUGUGUGAAAACUACUUACUCGGGAUCAAUGUAUCCAUGAGUACCGGCAACUUCCGUGAAUUCCUGAGAUUCGCGUCCACCGAAAGAUCUUGAGAUCCCAAAAUCAGCAAGUUUAGCCUUUUUUUCUUCACAAAAAUACUACUUGUCUUUACAUUUUUGCCAACAACAAUUUCACAAAUUAUUUAAAUUAUAGGAUAAGGUUUUUAGGUGUCAUGCCAAAAUUAUUGAAGUAUGUUCUAGAAGUGGCUGGAAUUACAUUUCAUGUGAUAAGUGUAAAAAGAAACUAAAGAAAGAUGGAGACACACUUGUUUGUGAAACCUGUCCUCAUCAAGAUAUUACCGGUUCAUUAAGGUUAACAUUUAUAUAUAUAUUUCAAAUAUUCAUAUUGCUUAUUUUUUUUUUUUUAAUAAUAUACAAAAGUUAUGUUAUUGAAAAGGUAUCGGGUAGAGUUAAUUGUUGAUGAUGGUUCAGAUACAGCCUCUUUUAUAAUAUUCAACAAAGAUUUAACCAAGAUUCUAAAAAAAUCACCAGUGGAAUUAAUAAAUUAUAUUGUAAGUUAUUUCAUGUCAAAUAAUCAGUUUAUUGUUUUAACAAUUUUAAGUUAAUGAAUCAAUUUAAUAUAUAGGAAACCAUCAAUGAUGUUGAAACGGAAGAGAAUGCUGUAGUGUCUUUUCUAAAUGAAAAUCUUGUUGGUGAAGAAUUUAUUUUCACUAUAAGAAUAAAUUCAUAUAAUUUUAGAUCCACUUCUUCUGGUAUAACAAUCAUCGAGACUCAUAAAAAAGACUCUGCUACCAACAAUGUAAUUGUAAAAUAUUUGUAAUUAUUAAAUCUCUGUUUUUUUAGACCUUUAAAUUUACCAUUUUUGUAUAUAUAGGAAAAUAUAAAUAAGAGUGACAGUCAUAUUAAUUAUAACUGUAAAAAAGAAGAGGAUUCUAAUGAGUAUGUGGGGAAGAUGAAGAGUGGACAGAAGAAUGAAGGAUCAAGUAAAAACUUUGGUAGAAGUCAUUUGAAAACAAAGGAAACUAAAACAAAAAAAACUAAUUUAGUGAAAUCUGGGAAACAAAAAGUUAACUCAAGUAGUGAUCGACCAACAAGAAACAAAAGAAUGAAAGUUGAUUCUUACACAUGGAUAUAAAAGAAUUUGUAAUUUAGACAUACAUUGUAUUAAUAAUUUUUUUCACAAUAUUACCUGUUAAAUAUUAUUUUUAAAUUAAAUUUUAUUAUGUUACCGUUUUUAAAUUCAAUUCCUGCAAAAGAAGUAGUGACAUGUACAAAUUAGUUUAUAGUUUCAAUUUCCUUUUUACAAGUCUCCGUGUAAAGAAUUAGUGAGAAAAGUGAGUAAAGAAGAAGAAUAAUUACAAUUUAUAAAAUCUCAAAGGUAAUAAUUUCAUUCCAGGGUUAAAAGGAGAUGAUGUAAUAGUGGUUAAAAGUCAUGAAGCAUUGCACUUUAUAGUUGCAGUAUGUUUAUCAAAUACGGAAAUAGCACAAACCAGAACCAUACAGCAGAACUAAACAUCAUAACACAUAGAGAGAACCAUAAACCCGAACCAGAAACGGAACGGUCUCAAACCUAAUCUAAUUACCAACCACCACCGCCGCCUCCUCCGUAACCUCCAUCAUCACCACCUCCUUAUCCCCCACCCUCACGUUUGCCACCUCCACCGUAUCCUCCGCCACCACCUCCUCUCGAGGAGUAGCCACCUCCACCACCACCAUUGUAUCCACCCUCGCGUCUUCCACCACCGAAACCACCACCACCUUUGUAACCGAUCAUACAUUAAAAGAGAAAGGUUAUUCAUCAUAACUCAUAGAGAGAACCAUAAACACGAACCAGAAACGGAACGGUAUCAAACCUAAUCUAAUUACCAACCACCACCAUUGCCGCCUCCGUAACAUCCACCAUCACCACCUCCGUAUCCCCCACCCUCACGUCUGCCACCCCUAACGUAUCCUCCGCCACCACCUCCUCUCGAGGAGUAGCCACCUCCACCACCACCAUUGUAUCCACCCUCGCGUCUUCCACCUCCGUAACCACCACCACAUUCGUAACCUUCCAUACAUCAAAAGAGAAAGAGAACAUGUCUUUUCGUUUUGUUGUAAGCUACUGCUUGUAUAGACACGAAUAGAAACAGUUAUGAGCAUCUUAUUUAAAAAGUCCAAAUGAAAGGAAUAGUUGUAAUUUGAAGGGUCAUGUCUUUUCACCCACUGAUUAGUUCCUCUAUAAAUACAGUUUGACACUUUAUUUUAAACUCAACAAUAAAUCUUAUUGAGUUAGGCAAAAUGGACAUAGUUCCAGGUAAUUUCCACUUAAUGUAUAAACUAUCUUUGUUAAAACAAAACAAUCAGUUUUAUAAAAAGUUAUUAUUGAAGUAUCUUCACGUUUGGUAAUAAAAAUGAAACAAUAAGUGGAAUUUGCAGAGGACAUACCGUCUCGUCAUGUGUAAACAUACCACACUUAGUGCAGAAAUUUUUCAGUCGAUGAUACCUAAAAGAAAGCAUAACAAUCUCCCCACCAGCAAAUUCAAAAUUACGUUUGAAAAUUAAUGGGUUGUCAACGUUUCAGUUAACUAAUACCCACGCAGAAUCAGUAAGGUUUGAGAAGUCCUCAAAAUGAACGUCUACUACUUCGGCAAAUUCGUCUCCAAUGAACUUGAUUACUGCCUUUGAUAAGUAAUGGGGAGGGAUACCCUUUACCUGGACCCAGAAUUGAACAAUCUUUAAGUCUUCCUCCGUAACAGUAGCGUCCCAACGUUUAGCAACGAUCAUCCAAUCAGCAAAUGACCAAGGGCCUUCUUGCAAAACUCUGUUAAUGGCUUCUUCUGUCUUGAACAGGAACUGAAACUUCUUGUUGUCAACAAUCCGACCAAUGACCUCAUCGGUUACGCCCCAAAUGUAAGGUAACUGAUUUAUCAAACCUUUCAUACUCUGUUUUUCUGGGUUAACAAGAACACCAACAAUUGAAAAACGAUUCAAAUGCAGAGCUUGGGCGACCAAGUGUGGAGGUAAAACAAUGGGCGCUUUAUCCAGCCCCAAAUCAUUUUCUUGCGAAGAAAAAGGAUAAUAAUCACUCAUUUUAAAGAACACAGGAUCGUAAAAAGGAAAAAAGAAGUGGGAUUAAAGUAUAUAUAAGUACAGAGUUGGCAGUUAGAAUUGAGUAAAACCGUAACCGAUAAAAACGGCUAACACCAAAGAGGAUAAAUUGAACAGGUGCAAAUAAGUAUCAAACACGAUUUUCAUCAUAGAUUAAGAUCUCUCCAAACAAUUUAGAACCAGGAAGAAGAAAGAUGGAGAAGAUAAUGAUUUAUCCAAUAAAAAGCCUAUAAAAAUAAAUUAAUUGAAGUUCGUGCCCUUUCAUAUUUUUUAACGAUUAAUAGCCACCAGCAAAUAUAAUUAUUGUACAUACGUGUUGUCCAAACAUCACAAUGGGUGUCUUUUCCAUUUCUCUCACUUUUAUAACUACAGUAAGAUUAUUAUAAGUAAUAAUCUUUUAAUCAAUCUUAAGUGUGAGUUUUGUUUUUUUUUGUUAUUUUAUAAAUUACAAUUUCUAUACAAUUAGUAUCCAACAAAACUAGAACAGGUAUUAGACAAUAAAAAAAAAAGCAGCGAUUACACCUACUAAAAAUAAGUGUGGCAAAGUAUAUUCGUAACCUUUGAACAACAUAACUCUUCAUUUUCUUAUAUGCACUACCAAUUUCAACUAAUGAAUUCUAACCCUAUGUAUAUCAGCCGUUAAAAAAAAUAACGAACUUCAACAGAAAAAGAAGACAAGCCACCACGUUGUCAACCACAAAAGCCACAGAUUAUUCUGGUUUUUAACAUUUUAUUAUAAAAAUUUAUUUAAAAUAAAAAAUGAGUUAAAGGGGUUAUAUUAAUUUACAUUAAAAUAAUACCUAUAUAUAGAAAGCUUGAAUGUCUUAUUUUUAAUAUUUUUUUACAUAAAUGUUAUUAAGAUAACAUGUACUAGGAUACAUUAAUCAUAGUAACUAACUCAGUCCUUCAACGUUAAAACUCGAGACAAUAAGAUAACAACAAAUGUAAUAAAAUCAUCUUGCCAUUGACAUUGUCUUAUUUAAUAACACACAUGUUUUUAGCACAUUAUAACAACUAUACUUUAUUACAAGACCACCACAUCAAUGAAACUUACAUCGUAGUUCGAUCAUUACAAUGUAACGAAAUUUUUAAUUGCACUGAGCUGCCGCGCGACAUCGCGCGGGUACAAUUCCUAGUUGAUAUAAUAUCUAAUUAACAUAUUAAAUCUAUAUUCAAACCCAAAUAUCUAAAGUGACUCAUUUACUAAAUUUAUAUAUUUAGCCAAACUAAAAGCUUUGCAAGCUUUGUAUGUCAUUCGUUUUGGACUUCUAUUUCUCAUUUAACACAAUUCCGAUUUUGACCAACAAAUACACUAAUUCAUAGUGUUCACAGUGACGAUUACAUCGUGCCCAAAUUCCAGUAAUUCCGACAGAUAUCUCUGUCGAAAAACCCAUCGGAAAAAUGGUCCACACCACUUUGUAAAAAAAAAAGUUCCAACAGACUUCUGUUGAGUUAUUUUCGUUCAAUGAAUUGAACUUUCAAGCCGUGACAUACAUAUACAAAUAAACGGAAGAACAGAGAAAUGUCAAUGGUAAAAGCAAAUUGACAUGUAUGUGGUACUCAAGAUACACAGAGACCAAAAUUCACCAAAGAGCAGACAGCGCUCAAAACUACAGAAACCAUGAUCACCUUAGUCCAGAUUCUGGCAAUUUUACAAAUUUUGCUAAAUAUUUGAAUAACAAAUUUAUUUGUUGAGUCUAUAUUGGCACUACAGGUAUACAACAUUCAAAACUAUCUUGCCCCAGGAACUACCGAAGUAUCCAAGCUAAUGUUCAUUUCUUGAGAUUCCAAACCUUGAUUGUUACUCAUCCUC
rnacentral:lncRNA from 1 species